rnacentral:misc_RNA from 1 species
ACGAUACGAAAACGAGUGUUGAAUAGUUACAUGUGCGUCCUUGUUACGAAGAGGUCAGUCUGUCGAGGAUCGUCCUUGGAAUCGCUCGUCCCUGAAGCCGGCUCAAGGAGCUAGUGAUCUCAAAAACAAAAAUGGCGGACGUUGACUCGAGGGUGGAUCAUUCAGAUCCCGAAUUGCGAUUCCUUUCAGUUGACAGGAAUAAUUUUAAUGAUCCUGCAACUCAAGCCGAAUGGACACAAAAAAAAUUAGUUUGGGUACCUCACGAAACUCAGGGUUUCGUUGCAGCCGGGAUAAAGGGUGAACGGGGUGAUGAAGUCGAAGUGGAGAUUGCCGAAACUGGAAAACGGGUUCUUGUUGCAAAAGAUGAUAUUCAGAAAAUGAAUCCACCAAAAUUUGAUAAAGUUGAAGACAUGGCUGAAUUAACGUGUUUAAAUGAAGCUUCUGUACUGCAUAACCUCAAAGACAGAUACUACUCCGGCCUCAUUUACACAUACUCAGGACUAUUCUGCGUGGUGGUAAAUCCAUACAAGAGGCUGCCAAUUUACACGGAAAAGAUAAUGGAGAGGUAUAAGGGUAUUAAGAGACACGAGGUUCCACCCCAUGUUUUUGCCAUUACGGACACCGCAUACCGUUCUAUGCUUCAAGAUCGUGAGGACCAGUCAAUUUUAUGCACCGGUGAAUCCGGCGCUGGUAAAACUGAAAACACGAAGAAAGUAAUUCAAUACUUGGCGUAUGUUGCUGCUUCAAAACCUAAAUCGAAUGCGACACCAAGUCCGGCAUUAAUCAUAGGUUCCGGAAAUAUUUCGGAUAAAUUUGCGGUAAUUAACGGUGAAUUGGAGCAACAACUUUUACAAGCAAAUCCGAUUUUAGAAGCUUUUGGAAAUGCAAAAACAGUGAAAAAUGACAACUCAUCCCGAUUUGGUAAAUUUAUACGUAUAAACUUCGAUGCUUCCGGUUACAUUGCUGGUGCAAACAUAGAAACGUAUCUUCUAGAAAAGUCAAGAGCAAUUCGACAAGCAAAAGAUGAAAGAACUUUCCAUAUAUUUUAUCAACUUCUAGCUGGUGCCUCACCUGAACAAAAGAAGGAGUUUAUCUUGGAAGAUCCAAAACACUAUCCAUUCUUGUCCAAUGGCGCAUUACCAGUUCCAGGAGUAGACGAUUCAGCUGAAUUCUUCUCAACCGUAAAAUCUAUGCAUAUUAUGGGCAUGACAAAUGAAGACUUUUCUUCGAUUUUUCGUAUUGUAUCUGCGGUGAUGCUUUUCGGUUCCAUGCAAUUCCGUCAAGAAAGAAACUCGGACCAAGCUACGUUACCGGAUAAUACUGUUGCUCAAAAAAUUUCUCAUUUGUUAGGUUUGAGCGUGACGGAAAUGACGAAAGCAUUCUUAAAACCAAGAAUUAAAGUCGGUAGAGAUUUUGUAACGAAAGCACAAACAAAAGAGCAAGUUGAAUUUGCAGUAGAAGCAAUUUCAAAAGCUUGCUAUGAAAGAAUGUUCAGAUGGCUUGUGAACAGGAUCAACAGAUCAUUGGAUCGAACAAAAAGACAAGGAGCAAGUUUUAUUGGUAUCUUAGAUAUGGCCGGUUUUGAAAUAUUUGAAUUAAACAGUUUUGAACAAUUGUGUAUUAAUUAUACUAAUGAAAAAUUACAACAAUUAUUCAAUCAUACCAUGUUCAUUUUGGAACAAGAAGAAUAUCAAAGAGAAGGAAUUGAAUGGAAAUUUAUUGAUUUUGGAUUAGAUUUGCAACCAACUAUUGACUUGAUUGAUAAACCAAUGGGUAUUAUGGCAUUGUUAGAUGAAGAAUGUUGGUUUCCCAAAGCAACAGAUAAAACAUUUGUUGAAAAAUUAGUAGGUGCUCAUAGUGUGCAUCCAAAAUUUAUGAAAACAGAUUUUAGAGGUGUUGCAGAUUUUGCUAUUAUACAUUAUGCUGGAAAAGUUGAUUAUUCCGCAGCUAAAUGGUUAAUGAAAAAUAUGGAUCCUUUGAAUGAAAAUGUUGUUAGCUUACUACAAAAUUCACAAGAUCCGUUCGUUUGUCAUAUUUGGAAAGAUGCGGAAAUUGUCGGAAUGGCUCAACAAGCAUUGACAGAUACACAAUUUGGUGCAAGAACAAGAAAAGGCAUGUUUAGAACAGUUUCUCAAUUAUAUAAAGAACAAUUGGCAAAAUUAAUGAUUACUCUAAGAAAUACUAAUCCCAAUUUUGUGAGAUGCAUUAUACCGAAUCAUGAAAAAAAAGCUGGAAAGAUUGAUGCACCAUUGGUAUUAGAUCAACUGAGAUGUAAUGGAGUUUUAGAAGGAAUUCGAAUUUGUCGACAAGGAUUUCCAAAUAGAAUACCAUUUCAAGAAUUCAGGCAGAGAUACGAACUUUUAACACCAAAUGCAAUUCCUAAAGGGUUUAUGGAUGGAAAAAAAGCUUGCGAGAAGAUGAUUCAAGCUCUUGAACUUGACCCUAAUCUUUACCGCGUUGGUCAAUCAAAAAUUUUCUUUCGUGCUGGAGUUUUAGCUCAUCUUGAAGAAGAACGUGAUUAUAAAAUUACUGACAUAAUUGUCAAUUUUCAAGCAUUCUGUCGUGGUUUCCUCGCUCGUAGAAAUUAUCAAAAACGUUUACAACAGUUAAAUGCUAUUAGAAUUAUCCAAAGAAAUUGUGCUGCUUAUUUAAAACUUAGAAAUUGGCAAUGGUGGCGUUUAUAUACUAAAGUAAAACCACUUUUGGAAGUAACAAAACAAGAAGAAAAAUUAACUCAAAAAGAAGAUGAAUUAAAACAAGUACGAGAUAAGUUAGAAUUACAAUUACAUUCUGCACAAGAAUAUGAACGGAAAUAUCAACAAGCUAUGGAAGAAAAAACUAUGUUGGCAGAACAAUUACAGGCUGAAGUUGAAUUAUGUGCAGAAGCAGAGGAAAUGCGAGCAAGAUUAGCAGCCAGAAAACAAGAACUGGAAGAAAUUCUUCAUGAUUUAGAAACAAGAAUUGAAGAAGAAGAAGAAAGAAGUGCUGGUUUAGCUCAAGAAAAAAAGAAGUUACAAUUAAAUAUAAGUGAUCUUGAAGAGCAAUUAGAAGAAGAAGAAGCUGCUAGACAAAAAUUACAGCUAGAAAAAGUACAAUGUGAUGCAAAAAUUAAAAAACUUGAGGAAGAUCUUGCACUUUCUGAUGAUACAAAUCAAAAAUUAUUAAAAGAGAAAAAAAUUCUUGAAGAAAGGGCAAAUGAUUUAUCUCAGACACUUGCUGAAGAAGAAGAAAAAGCAAAACAUUUAUCAAAAUUAAAAGCAAAACAUGAAGCAACAAUUGCAGAUCUUGAAGAAAGGUUGUUGAAAGAUCAUCAACAAAGACAGGAAGUGGAUAGAUCAAAGAGAAAAAUAGAAACUGAGGUAUCAGAUUUGAAAGAACAACUUGCAGAAAGGAAGACACAGGUAGAAGAAUUCCAAUUGCAACUUGGCAAACGCGAAGAGGAAUUAAAUCAAAUAAUGGCAAAAAUGGAUGAAGAAGGUGCAGCUAAAGCUCAAGCGCAAAAGGCUCUUCGUGAAUUAGAGUCUCAAUUAGCUGAACUUCAAGAAGAUUUAGAAGCUGAGAAAAUUGCUAGAGGAAAAGCUGAAAAAUUAAAACGAGAUUUAAAUGAGGAAUUGGAAGCAUUGAAAAAUGAAUUAUUAGAUUCUUUAGAUACAACUGCUGCGCAACAAGAAUUAAGAAGCAAACGAGAACAAGAAUUAGCAACAUUAAAAAAGAAUUUAGAAGAAGAAACAUCGAUACAUGAAGCAACGUUAGCAGAUAUGCGUCAUAAACAUACACAAGAAUUAACUGCUUUAAAUGAACAAAUGGAUGCAUUGAAAAAAACUAAAACUGUUUUAGAAAAAGCAAAAGCAACAUUAGAGGCAGAGAAUGCUGAUUUAGCUACAGAACUUAGAUCUGUUAGUGCUAGUAGACAAGAAUCAGAUAGAAGAAGAAAGCAAGCAGAACAACAACUUGCUGAAAUAAAUGCAAAACUUGCAGAAGUGGAAAGAAAUAGACAAGAAUUGGUAGAAAGAGUAACAAAAUUACAACAAGAAUCUGAAAGUAUUAUGCAACAAUUGGAAGCAGCAGAAUUAAAAGCUUCUGCAGCUUUAAAAGCUUCAGCAACUUGUGAAUCUCAAUUUACUGAACUUCAGCAACAACUUGAGGAGGAAACUAGACAAAAAUUAGCUUUAAGUUCAAAACUGAGAGCAUUAGAAAGUGAAAAGGAAAGUCUACAUGAUCAAUUAGAAGAAGAAGAAGAAGCAAAGAGAGCUUUAGAUAAACAGGUUCUGGGCUUAAAUGUUCAGCUGGCUGAAGCAAAGAAAAGAGCUGAAGAGGAAGCUGAGGCCGCUGCAGCAUUAGAAGAAGCAAGAAAAAGAUGUAUGAAAGAUAUUGAAGCACUUCAAAGACAAGUUGAAGAAUUGCAAGCUGCUAAUGAUAAAUUAGAUAAAUCAAAAAAGAAGAUUCAAGCAGAAGUAGAAGAUAGUAUUAUUGAACUCGAAGCGCAAAGAGCAAAGGUGCUGGAAUUGGAAAAAAAGCAAAAAAAUUUUGACAAGGUGCUGGCCGAAGAAAAAGCGGUCUCCGAACAAUAUGCUGAGCAACGCGAUGCUGCCGAACGUGAGGCUCGAGAAAAAGAAACUCGUGUCUUAUCUUUAACUCGUGAACUUGAUGAAAUGAAUGAAAAAGUUGAAGAACUUGAACGAAUUCGUCGUGGUCUACAAUCAGAACUCGAUGAACUUGUAAAUAAUCAAGGAACAGCAGACAAAAAUGUACAUGAAUUAGAAAAAGCAAAACGAGCUCUUGAAUCCCAAUUAGCGGAACAACGUUCUCAAGUAGAAGAACUAGAAGAUGAAUUACAGUUUACAGAAGAUGCAAAAUUGCGUUUAGAAGUAAAUAUGCAAGCUUUAAGAGCUCAAUUCGAACGAGAUUUACAAGCUAAAGAAGAACAGGCUGAAGAGAAACGAAGAGGAUUAGUAAAGCAAUUACGUGAUCUUGAAGCAGAAUUAGAGGAUGAAAGAAAACAAAAAGCUGCUGCUAUCGCACAACGUAAAAAGAUGGAAGCAGAUUAUAAAGAUAUUGAACAACAAUUGGAAAUGCACAAUAAAGUGAAAGAAGAUGCAUUAAAACAAUUAAAAAAACUUCAAGCCCAAAUAAAGGAUUGUACUAGAGAAACCGAAGAAGCUAGAGCUGCUAGAGACGAAUUGGCAGCAAGUGCUAAAGAAACUGAGAAAAAAGUAAAGAGCUUAGAAGCAGAUUUGAUGCAAUUAACUGAAGAUUUUGCUAGCAGUGAACGAGCUAGAAGAGCUGCUGAAAAUGAAAGAGAUGAAUUACAAGAGGAACUCAAUAAUAAUGCUAACAAGGGAACAUUAAUGUUAGAUGAAAAACGUAGAUUGGAAGCUAGAAUAGCAACAUUGGAAGAAGAAUUGGAAGAAGAACAAUCAAAUGCUGAAUUACUAAUGGAUAGAGCUAGAAAAGCUCAAAUAACUAUUGAGCAACUAACAAAUGAUUUAACAACUGAAAGAUCAACUACACAAAAAUUGGAAUCGCACAAAUUGUUAUUAGAAAGACAAAAUAAGGAAUUGAAAGCGAAACUUACAGAAUUGGAAACUGCUCAAAGAGCAAAAACCAAAGCAACCAUUCAACAAUUGGAAUCAAAGAUUAAUAAUCUUGAUGAGCAAUUAGAAACUGAAGCAAAAGAAAGAUUUGCACAACAAAAGAUUAAUAGAAAAUUGGAAAAAAAAUUGAAAGAAUUGAGUUUACAGUUAGAAGACGAAAGAAGAAAUUCAGAUCAAUAUAAGGAACAAGCAGAAAAAGUAAAUGCUAGAAUGAAAGCUUUAAAGAGACAGCUUGACGAAGCUGAAGAAGAAAUUAGCAGGCAUAAGGCAAUGAAAAGGAAAGCGCAAAGAGAAAUGGAUGAUAUGCUUGAAUCUCAAGAAGAACUAACCAGAGAAGUUGCAAAUCUUAAAAAUAAAUUAAGGCGUCGAGGGAAAAAGAAUAGUUCAUACCCCACGUGAAAAAAGCGGAAAUUCUUCAAGUCUCAAGCAUUCCUCGAGUCUUGACGAGGUGGACCUCCAAUAAGCCUUAGUUCGACGCGUCUGAAACGCGGUUCCGUUCAAACCGGUGGAUCCGGCGAUGAUUCAACGACUCAGGAUGAAAGCAUCGAUGGAAAUCCAUAAACCCAGGUCCAAGAAGUGUGUACAAGAUACGCUUCGACCAAAAUUGAGUUCGAAUCGGAGAACUCGUUUCUAUGAGUUCAAAAGUCGAUUCCAAUGCACCCAACGAUGCCAUUAGAUGAGGACGGCGGCUUUCUUCUGUACAUAAAAAACCCGACAGGGCCGUACCAAGUAGUAUUUUAUUUCCGUUUUUUCGGAAAUCU